GUGGGGAAUAUUGGACAAUGGGGGGAACCCUGAUCCAGCCAUGCCGCGUGUGUGAAGAAGGCCUUUUGGUUGUAAAGCACUUUAAGCGAGGAGGAGGCUACCGAGAUUAAUACUCUUGGAUAGUGGACGUUACUCGCAGAAUAAGCACCGGCUAACUCUGUGCCAGCAGCCGCGGUAAUACAGAGGGUGUAAGCGUUAAUCGGAUUUACUGGGCGUAAAGCACGCGAAGGUGGUCAAUUAAGUCAAAUGUGAAAUCCCCGAGCUUAACUUGGGAAUUGCAUUCGAUACUGGUUGGCUAGAGUAUGGGAGAGGAUGGUAGAAUUCCAGGUGUAGCGGUGAAAUGCGUAGAGAUCUGGAAGAAUACCGAUGGCGAAGGCAGCCAUCUGGCCUAAUACUGACACUGAGGUGCGAAAGCAUGGGGAGCAAACAGGAUUAGAAACCCGGGUAGUCC
rnacentral:rRNA from 1 species